ensembl:lncRNA
GGACUAUCUCUCCUGGUGACUCAGAUGGUAAAGAAGCUGUCUGCAAUGUAGGAGACCUGGGUUCAGUCCCUGGGUCAGGAAGAUUCCCCUGGAGAAUGGAAUUGCUCCCCUCUCCAGAAUUCUUGCCUGGAAAAUUCCAUGAACAGAGGAGCCUGGUGGGCUACAGUUCAUGAGGUCACAAAGAGUCAAACGCACUGGACAGGCUGGACAGAAGCAGGUAGCUAGAGUGAUCUCGUUCCCCACCCCCACCCCCCCAACCACCCAAUGGGGCUAAUAGUUUUAUUUAGGGGGACAGUCUUAAACCAAUACAUAAUCCGUAUAGCUGUACACACUCUGAUUUUCCACUGUAGGGUGAUUCCAGUCCUUUACCCUGGAUUGCCAUCCAUUUUCUUACUUCUCAUAAAUAACGGUAAUUGCUCGCACUGCUUACUGAGAGGUUGCAGUUUGCCAGGGACUUGUUUAGCAGUCUUUUAGUUGGAUUAGCUCAUCUGGUCCCCCAGACACCCACUGAUGGACUGUCGCUGUGUGCGUCCUACAUGGGGAAACUGAGUCCCAGAAUGGCUGUCAUCGCCCGAGCAAACUGGAGCUAAAGUCAAAGCCGGGUGGCCUGACGCCUGCGCUGCGGCGCUUCUGGAGCCUGAGUCAGUUCAUGCGCUCUUCCUCUCCUACCGGGUAAAGGACCACUUCUUGUGUGGAACAGGCCUUCUCCCGGCAGUCAAUUCAAAGGUCAUUGUUUUACCUUUUCCCAAACCGUUACUAUGAGUUUUGGCUAGUUCUUCGCUGGCCAAUCAUUUAUUUAUUUUGUCCCCCCCUUUUUUUCAGACUUUUCAUUUUGUGCUGGGGUGUGGCCAGCUAGCAGUGCUGCGGCAGUCUCAGGCGAACAGCGAAGGGACCCCAGCCACACACACACGUGUCUGUUUCCAGACCCCUCCCAGCCAGGCUGCCGCACAGCACUGAGCAGAGCAGGCGCUUGUUGGCUGUCCAGGUUGAAUACAGGCGUCUGUGUGUGCGGAUCGCACACUUACCAGCUCGCCUUCCCCCCAUCCUUCCCCUUGGCAACCAUAAAUUCAUUCUGUGCUUUUUUGCUCAGUCAAUCAGCGUAUGUGCUGGUGCUGAGUAGCUUUCGUGACACCCAUGCCUGGCUGACUUGCUUACUCACUGGCUCAGGGCAGUGUAUAACAACAUGGGUCAGUCAGAGGCCCACAGCAGCCGUCCCGCGCCUUCCUGGGAGGUUCUGAGAAUGAGGUGUUCUCUUUCAACCGCAGUUUCCACACUGGGAUGAUUUAAGCCUGAAACUGGCUUCCUGACCUCAGCAGGUAUAGAACAGCCUUCAGACUUGAGUUAUCCCCAUGCUCUGGUCUGCUUUCCUGGUGUUUACUCAGCUGCACUCUUGUCUCUAGUGUUCUUCUUCCUCCGCCUGGAUUAUCCAAGGGGAGCAAAAUGGCUGGAACAUUACUGCAACUCAUAACCACAUACCUUCAUCAUCACCAGAAGAGAAAAUGACUUCUCUCAUAGCUUUGCAAAGUGGUCUCACUCUGUUUUUAGAGUCCAUUCAGUAAAGCUCUUUUAAUGUGUCAGUGGCCCAUAUUAGGGCAAAUGCCCCUUCCUGAGCUUUCUUGUGGUUUUGGGAAGGUCAUGUAACGGUUUGCUUAUGCCUGGAUCCUAGAACUGUCGGGAUAGGGAAGGGCGAAUCGGAAUUCCUUCUGUUCUGAUCAAACCAGCGGAGAUGGCAAUGGCAGCCACUCCAGUGCUCUUGCCUGGACAAUCCCAUGGAUGGAGGAGCCUGGUGGGCUGCAGUCCAUGGGGUUGCGAAGAGUUGGACAUGACUGAGUGACUUCACUUUCACUUUUCACUUUCCUGCAUUGGAGAAGGAAAUGGCAACCCACUCCAGUGUUCUUGCCUGGAGAAUCCUAGGGACGGGGGAGCCUGGUGGACUGCCGUCUGUGGGGUCGCACAGAGUUGGACACGACUGAAGCAACUCAGCAGACUUAGCAAUCAAACCAAUCUGCAGAGUGUUCAAAGGGCUGCCUCCAAAGCACGUGGCUCCUUCAUGGGAGGCAUUGGCUUAGUUUCCCAUUCCUGCCAUAACAAUUAACCACAAGAUCGGCACCUUAAAAUAACACAUAUAAUAAAUAAA